UACGGGGGGGGGCGAGCGUUGUUCGGAAUUACUGGGCGUAAAGGGUUUGUAGGUGGCCUGCUAAGUCAGACGUGAAAUCCCUCAGCUUAACUGGGGAACUGCGUCUGAUACUGGCGGGCUUGAGGACAGGAGAGGAACGCGGAAUUCCAGGUGUAGCGGUGAAAUGACGUAGAUAUCUGGAGGAACACCGGUGGCGAAGGCGGCAUCCUGGACCGGCAUUGACGCUGAGGCGCGAAAGCC
rnacentral:rRNA from 1 species